rnacentral:rRNA from 1 species
GAUGAACGCUGGCGGCGUGCCUAAUACAUGCAAGUCGAACGAAACUUCUUUAUCACCGAGUGCUUGCACUCAACGAUAAAGAGUUGAGUGGCGAACGGGUGAGUAACACGUGGGCAACCUGCCCAAAAGAGGGGGAUAACACUUGGAAACAGGUGCUAAUACCGCAUAACCAUAGUUACCGCAUGGUAACUAUGUAAAAGGUGGCUAUACUACCGCAUUUGGAUGGGCCCGCGCCGCAUUAGCUAGGUGGUAGGGUAAAGGCUUACCAAGGCAAUGAUGCGUAGCCGAAUCGAGAGGAUGAUCGGCUACAGUGGGACUGAGAUAGGGAACAGACGCCUGCGGAGGGCAGCAGUAGGGACGGUUCCACAAUGUGCGAGAGCGGGAUGAAGCAACGCCGCGUGGGUGAAGAAGGGCUCCCGACCGUAAAACCCUCUUGUGAGAGAAGAACGGGCGUGCGAGUAACUGUUCACGCUUCGACGGUAACGAGCCAGACAGGCACGGCCAACUACGGU